rnacentral:rRNA from 1 species
GCAAGUCGAACGGCAGCGCGGACUUCGGUCUGGCGGCGAGUGGCGAACGGGUGAGUAAUGUAUCGGAACGCGCCCAGUAGCGGGGGAUAACUACUCGAAAGAGUAGCUAAUACCGCAUACGCCCUACGGGGGAAAGGGGGGGAUCGCAAGACCUCUCACUAUUGGAGCGGCCGAUAUCGGAUUAGCUAGUUGGUGAGGUAAAGGCUCACCAAGGCGACGAUCCGUAGCUGGUUUGAGAGGACGACCAGCCACACUGGGACUGAGACACGGCCCAGACUCCUACGGGAGGCAGCAGUGGGGAAUUUUGGACAAUGGGGGAAACCCUGAUCCAGCCAUUCCGCGUGUGCGAUGAAGGCCUUCGGGUUGUAAAGCACUUUUGGCAGGAAAGAAAUCGCAUCAAUUAAUACUUGGUGUGGAUGACGGUACCUGCAGAAUAAGCACCGGCUAACUACGUGCCAGCAGCCGCGGUAAUACGUAGGGUGCAAGCGUUAAUCGGAAUUACUGGGCGUAAAGCGUGCGCAGGCGGUUCGGAAAGAGAGGUGUGAAAUCCCAGGGCUCAACCUUGGAACUGCACUUUUAACUACCGAGCUAGAGUAUGUCAGAGGGGGGUGGAAUUCCGCGUGUAGCAGUGAAAUGCGUAGAUAUGCGGAGGAACACCGAUGGCGAAGGCAGCCCCCUGGGAUAAUACUGACGCUCAUGCACGAAAGCGUGGGGAACAAACAGGAUUAGAUACCCUGGUAGUCCACGCCCUAAACGAUGUCAACUAGCUGUUGGGGCCUUCGGGCCUUAGUAGCGCAGCUAACGCGUGAAGUUGACCGCCUGGGGAGUACGGUCGCAAGAUUAAAACUCAAAGGAAUUGACGGGGACCCGCACAAGCGGUGGAUGAUGUGGAUUAAUUCGA